GACGAACGCUGGCGGCGUGCUUAACACAUGCAAGUCGAACGGUGACGCGCCUUCCUUUUUGGCUGGUGUGGAUGAGUGGCGAACCGGUGAAUAACACGUGAGUAACCUGCCCCUUUCUUCUGGAUAACCGCAUGAAACUGUCGCUAAUACCGGAUAUUCUGGGUCUGUCGCAUGAUGGGUCUAUGAAAGCUAUUGUUUCUGUGUGGGAUGGGCUCGCGGCCUAUCAGCUUGUUGGUGGGGUGAUGCCCUACCAAGGCGGUGACGGGUAGCCGGCCGGAGAGGGUCGACGGCCACACAAGGACUGCGACACGGAGAAGACUCCGACGGGAGGCAGCAGUGGAGAAUAUUGCACAAUGGGCGGAAGCCUGAUGCAGCGACGCGGCGUGGGAGAUGGCGUCCUGCUGGUUGUGAACCUCUUUCGGCAGUGAAGCAGGCCUGCCUAGUUUGUGGGUGGGUUGACGGUAGCUGGAGAAGAAGCACCGGCUAACUACGUG
rnacentral:rRNA from 1 species